UUCCGCAGAUAUUUCUCAUUAACAGUGCAAUUUUUUUUUAAAAAAAAAUUCAAAUUAUAACGCUGCGAGGUUUUAGCCGGCAGAUAAGAAGGCAGCAUCUUUGUUGUCAUACAAUUAUCGGGCUUUGAUUCAUGUUAAAGUCAGCAUCUUUGUUGUCACACAAUUAUUGCACUUGAUUCGCGUGGAUGAUUAUACACAUUCUAAGGGAAUUAAAUAGAUAAGACUGAGACUAGUGUUAUUUACAAGGAGGAUAUUGGAGAAUUACCUUCCCUCUGUUUUCAAUGUUCUCUCUUUCUUUCUCCCUUCCUCCCUUUUCCUUUGUAUGAUUAUGGCAACCUCUCUUUGAUGCUGUGUUUGGAGAAAGAAAAUUAAUGAUGCCAUGGAAAUACUUUUCCGGACCCCUUUUGGUGAAAAGGAGGAAUACAACAUCCCAGAUUGCCAGUGUUGGUGCCGACAUUUGUCCUAUUGAAAGCCUUGAAUACGAGACAUGGUAAUGGCUCCAGUGCAGAUAUUACAAGGCUUUUGCAGCAUUUGCUGGUUGCAACAUAGUCUUGGCAACUGCUGCUGCAGCUCUAUGUGCUUUCAUUGCUCCAGCAGCAGCAGGCCCUGGUAUUCCUUAGGUGAAAGCCUAUCUUAAUGGCAAUGAUGCUCAUUCUAUAUCGGCUUCCAGAACCAGAUCUAUACCGCAUGUUACACAAGUAUAUAGACAUAGACGAUGGAGAAUGACCUAGCCCGUCACUCUUUGAUUGUGAGACCAAGCCCAUCCAAGUCCAUCAAAUUGUAUUUUAUUUGAGUUAUUUAUUUAGAUUUUCUUAUGUUUGACAAUAUUAUUUAGCGAAUUGAGUCUAGUAACUGGUUGUUUUUAAAGUUUAUUAUUUAUAUGUGAUUUUUAUAGAUAUUAUGUUCAGUUUUUUAUUAUUCGAUAAAAUGAUAAUAAAAUGACAGAUUAUUUGUCUA